GCAUCGCUGACGAGUCUCGAACAGGACGAAGCAGCUGUCCGAUAC
rnacentral:hammerhead_ribozyme from 1 species